ACUCUGUGCUAUGCUACAUGAGAAACGCAGAGAAAGUCAUCGCUCAGUAGAAAUACAGUAAUAGCGCAUGCGUAAAUAGGAGAGGGAAGUCGCUACUUUACCUAGAGAUUAACACAGAAAAGCAACAAAUUACCAGUUUACAAGUAAACCCUUUAUCUAACGCGAAGAUUUAUUUAUUUUUUGAGAUGGAAUCUUGCUCUGUCUCUCAGGCUAGAGCGCCCGCCACCAGGCCUGAUUCACUUUUCUUUUGGUUUUUUAGUGAAGACGGGAUUUUUCACACCAUGUUAGUCAGGCUGGAAUUACCCAAUCCGCCCGCCCCAACCUCCCGAAGUGCUAGGAUUUCACGCUUGAAACCCCGAGCGCGACCUAGGUUUAACACAUCAAACGCGAAACCAGGCCGGGCGCGGUGGCUCACGCCUGUAAUCCCACCACUUUGGGAGGCCGAGGCGGGCGGAUCACGAGCUCAGGAGAUCGAGACCAUCCUGGUUAACACGUUGUGAAACCCUGUCUCCACUAAAAAUACAAAACAGGCCGGGCGCGGUGGCUCACGCCUGUAUUCCCAGCACUUUGGGAGGCUGAAGCGGGCGGAUCACAAGGUCAAGAGAUGGAGACCACCCUGGCCAACAUGGUGAAACCCCGUCUCUAUUAAAAGUAUAAAAAUUCGCUGGGCGUGGUGGCGGGCGCCUGUAGUCCCAGCCACUCGGGAGGCUGAUGCAGGAGAAUCGCAUGAACCCGGGAGGCGGAUGUUGCAGUGAGCUGAGAUCAUGCCAUUGCACUCUAGCCUGGGCGACAGAGCAAGACGACGUCUCAAAAAAAAUAAAUAAGAAAUAAAAAUGGAAAACAUUAGCCGGGGGUGGUGGCAAGCGCUCAAUAGUUCCAACUACCCCAGAGGCUGAAGUAUGAAGAUUGCUGAAGACCACAUGGAGAUACUACGCUCCGUGCUCAGUUAUAAAACAAAACCUUCUCUCAACAAGACACUCAAACACGCGUCAUUCAACACACUAGCGAUAAAAACACCUAAUCCAACUCAAACAACAAGAACAUAACUAUUUAGCUUGUACCCUAACUGAUCGAAAUCUUCCAUUAAACAACGGUUGUUCUCUCCCCGAAGGGAGAGUGCACCGUUCCUGGAAGUACUGCAAUACCAGGUCGAUGCGUGGAGUGGACGGAGCAAGCUCCUAUUCCAUCUCCUAUUUCCAAAAAUCCAUUUAAUAUAUUGUCCUCGGAUAGAGGACGUAUCAGAUAUUAAACUGAUAAGAACAGAUACUACACUUGAUCUUAGCCAAAAGGCCGAGAAGCGAUACCUUUACUUCGGUCGCCUCGGCGGC
rnacentral:lncRNA from 10 species